AAACUUCCAUAUUAGGUGAGACAUCACGACCAUGGAUUAAGGAACUUUUCCCUAGGUGAGGCUCACCCAUUGCACUCUGUGUAUGUGGAGCCCUGGCAUCUCCCCCAAUGUGGGAAACUAAUUUGUGGCAAUGGGGAAAGGCAUUCCUGUUUCCCUU
rnacentral:snRNA from 1 species